CUGUACUUUUAGCGGCUAGGUUCGUAAAAAAUAGUAUAGUUUGAAUCAAGUGACAACAACUUAAAGACUCCUCCAUCACUGCUGCGGAGUGAUAAAUAACUCAAGUAUAUAGCAAAGCCACCACCGACUGCAGAAGUUUGAAGAAGCGCACGAGGGAGGGAGCUAUAUGAGAGAGAAGCUUUUGGAGUCUUAAUCCCCCUGAGUGAUGAGGAAGUCAAGCCCUGGAACUCAAAAUAGUCCUCCCGUUUGUCCGUCGAGGUCGGGCCACGGGGGCAGCAUCCAAGAACAAGAAGCCCAGGCAUCCCUCUCCCUGAUCUUGAUGUGUUCCCAGGCCAGCUGAGACCUGAACAUUCAGGUCAAAAGGUUUCUCCGUAUGCCAGCUCACACCUGACAUUCAAAUAUGGCCGAUGGAGAGGUGUAGCAACGUGGAGAGAGGAGUAAAAGCCAAAGAGGGCCGUCAGCGUAGUGAAGGGUCACGAUGAAGGAGAAAGGUGUUAAUGAAAUGACAACAAAGGAUGGCGACAGUGAGCGAGUGAAUAUAGGGGAUGGAGAUAAGGGCAGAGUCGGGUUCGGGCUUAACACGGCAGUCUAAUCUUCCACAGUGGCAAAGAGUGUGUUAACAAGCCUCCCACUGCAGGGUUCCGGGGUACAGGAACUUCCGUUUUAAGGAAUCGAUCGUUAAUGUAAUAUAGUAGUAGAAUAUUUAGAGUUAGGGAAGUUCCAUUUAUAAAUUACAUUUUAUUAUUAUUAUUAUUAUUUGACAGAGUCCGUA